rnacentral:rRNA from 1 species
GACGUAGGGCGCGAGCGUUGUCCGGAUUUAUUGGGCGUAAAGAGCUCGUAGGCGGCUUGUCGCGUCGACUGUGAAAUCCCGCGGCUCAACUGCGGGUCUGCAGUCGAUACGGGCAGGCUAGAGUUCGGUAGGGGAGACUGGAAUUCCUGGUGUAGCGGUGAAAUGCGCAGAUAUCAGGAGGAACACCCGUGGCGAAGGCGGCUCUCUGGUACGGUACUGACGCUGAGACGCGAAAGCGUGGGGAGCGAACAGG